UGGGGAAUCUUGCGCAAUGGGCGAAAGCCUGACGCAGCGACGCCGCGUGAGUGAUGAAGGCCCUCGGGUUGUAAAGCUCUGUGGGGAGAGAAGAAUAAGUCGUGGCUAAUAUCCACGAUGAUGACGGUAUCUCCUUAGCAAGCACCGGCUAACUCUGUGCCAGCAGCCGCGGUAAGACAGAGGGUGCAAACGUUGUUCGGAAUUACUGGGCGUAAAGCGUGUGUAGGCGGUCUUAAAAGUCAGGUGUGAAAGCCCCGGGCUCAACCCGGGAAGUGCACUUGAUACUGUUUGACUUGAGUACUGGAGAGGUUGGUGGAAUUCUCGGUGUAGAGGUGAAAUUCGUAGAUAUCGAGAGGAACACCGGUGGCGAAGGCGGCCAACUGGACAGAUACUGACGCUGAGACACGAAAGCGUGGGGAGCAAACAG
rnacentral:rRNA from 1 species